UCCUUUUUUUUGUUUUUUAUUCGAUCCUUUUUUCUCUGUUUUUCCUUACCGUCUCCCCCCUCCCUCUCCCCCUUUUUCCCUUUCUCUCCUUCUUUUUUUUCAAUUAUAUGAUUCUAACUGAUUUUUUUCCCUUGUUAGAGUUGGUCUGGAUAUGAAGCUCCUAAACGCAUGAGACACAGAAAUCAUCUUAAUUGGUAAGCUCCAAUAUUUCCCUAAAGUUUUACAGUUUCCUUUAUUUCAAAAAGAAAGAUAUUUUUCCUGCUAGGAUUUGUUAAUUUUCCAUAAUAACCCAGAGGUCUGAGAUACUAUUCUUCCAUCUCCUUCUUUGAACAAACAAAAAAGUAGUACAAUCUAUUCAAAAGCAGCGAAAGUCAGAAGUAUUUAUAGACCCAAAGAUCUGCUUUUUUUUUUUUUUCUUGUUGAGUAUCUAUUUUCUGUUUGUGGGAGAAAAAGCCUUGCGGAUGUCUCUUUAUUUGUCUUCUGUCAAGUGACUUUCAGUUUGGCAGCGUCGGAUCAAUGCACAGUAAUGUAUGACAUAAUGAUAUGCUAUUUUGUUUGUUAUAUUCAUGGUUGCUUCUCUACGAGAUCAAACACUAACGAGAUGUAACUUUUCUGGUCAGGUUUGGCAUUCCACCCACUGGACGGCAUACUGCAAGCAGUACCACAUGUGGUAGCUCUCUUCCUACUGCCCAUGCAUUUUACUACACACAUAGCCCUCUUAUUCAUGGAGGUUGUAUGGAUUGCAAACAUCCAUGACUGCAUAAAUGGUAAAAUAUGGCCUGUAAUGGGUGCUGGUUACCAUACAAUUCACCAUACCACAGAUCGCCAUAAUUACUGCCACUACACAAUAUGGAUGGACUGGAUGUUUAACACACUUCGCGAUCCUGAGGAGGAUGAGGCCAAGAAAAGUCGUUGUGUAAUUUGAAUUUUUUUUAAAAUUUUUUGUUUCUGGCUGAGGGAGUGGGGAGGGGGUCAGUUGUCCUACAAAGUUAAUAGAAUUUUGGUACUUAGCCCCAUACUUUUGCCUUCAGGGAUAAUUACAUGGAAAAAACUUGUCUGGCAUAUAGGUUAAUUGCAUAGAUAGGCGCUAAUGUUCAUGUUCCUGUAAGUGAAAAAAGUUAGAUUAAAAUGGAAGUGACAAUGAUAAAAGGAAAAAAUCUAUGAUAUAUUUUUGGAGAAUAUGGUAAUUGUUACUAAUAUCUACUGUAUGAAGUGGAUUUUUGCAGUACCACUCAAGAAUGCUUCUGCCAUUUGAUUAACAAAACUACGUGUUUAUUUAUGUGGUAAGCAGAAUCGGCCACCCUUGAAACUUUAUCAUGAUAAGAACCUGGAAGCGUAUGACCCUGGAUACUAGAUUUUUCUACUAACUGUAGCUAUUUGAUCUUUGCAUUACCUGCUAUAUAUGUAUAUCAGCUCUUGAUGCAUUAUUAUAUCUCACGUGGAUGGUGUUAUCAUAAUAUUUUUGUUUGGUUUAAAAUCUUGUGUAACUUGAUGAGUUAUUUUGUGCCAAGAGUUUGACUAUCCCUUUUGCUACUGAUGUAUUGAGAGGAUAGAAUUAUGGCCUAUAUUAAUAAUCCUCCUCCUUAAUUAAUAAAUUGCAUUUGACCAAAAUGUUAACUAUUUUUUCAUGGCUCUGAAACUCCAUGUUAAUAGUCCCUCCAACCAAUAAAACACAGCCACAUCAGCACAAUAACCAUCCAUUUUAACUCUUUUUUUAUGGCUCUGAAACUCUGAAAAAUGGAGUUUUCAUGGCUCAUCUGAUGGCUUUUUUUUUUUGGGUUUGUUAUAUGCAGGAGUACGUUCAAUUAUUGACUCACAAAAGACGAUCCAUAUGGUAACCAACCCAAAGUCUCCAUUUGUGGAGAACAAAUUUCAUGUCAACGACUGUUAAAAACUUUAGUUAUUUUUUUUGUGUCUUUAUUUUUGAGAAAACUAUUUUUCUUAUUUUUUUCCCUUGUGAAGUUUUGGUUCUCAUUUUCCGAAGAGAGUAUAUGGAUUCUUUAAAACAAAAGAAAAAUACUUUUGUGUUUUCUUAGUUUUUUUUUUAACAAACAUUGUGUUUUCUUAGUUGCUGAUAAAAGCAUUGAAACUGAUCAAGGAGCCAUUAGUUGAGAUAGUCGUUUUAAGUACAUGUUCCAUAUAUAUUUGUAUAUGCAUGAAUUUUGCCAGCCCUUCUUCUUUUACACGAGUACCUUUUAUUUUAGUUUUACAAGAAUACCAUUUUUGGUUAAAUUUUUGUUUAUUUUGUUCCUAGAAUAUUGGUUUGAGUUCAUGGGGAUAACAUUUUGAGAAUAUAAAGUGAAUAUAGAGUAAAUAUGGCAGAUUGAGUAUUAGCCUGUUAUUGCAGAGAAUUUUCUUACCAUCUACUACCAUUUAAGUGGUUUACUACAUGUUUCUUGCUUAUUUAGACUUUACCUUUCGUGAAAAUGAUUUCAAUGUUUAUGGCAAUUAAAAGUUUGGUGUGGUAAUAUGUUGGUCUUUCUAGAUUCUUUAUAUUCCUUGAAAAGGUAACGAGAAUUUUUUGCAGCUAAAAUAACAAGAAGAUGUUAAGAUUACUUUGCAUUUAGAUCCUAUUUUCUACGAUCAUCUUCUUUUUAUUUUACUUUUGGUUAUGUUAUUAAUUUUUUAUUCUUUUAUGUUAUUAAUUUACUUUGUUUAUGUUAAAGGUGCAAAUGAUUGAAGAUGCAGUCACUCUGAAACCAAUUCAUGGAAUAACAAACUUUGUAAGUUAAAAAUGCAGUCCUUUCUUAUUUUUAUCUUGCUUUUGUGUUAAGCAUGGUCAUUAUUAGAUGGUUUAUUCUUAAUUUCAGCCUUUCAGUCCUUCACUAUUUGCAUACCAUUAAUUCAUUGUAUUGGAAUUAUAAAUACUACUUUGUUUGCGACAGAAGGUUUUUUUAGGUCUCUUAUUUUAUUUAAUUAUCUUUUAUUAUAGCAAGAAAUGUUAAGAAUUAUUCAAAUUUUACUGAGGAAAAAAUGUUUAAGUAGGCAAUUUUUUUUAGGCUUUACUCUUCAUAUAUGUAUUGAUUUGCUCUAUGGUUUUCUGCUCAACUUUUUGUCAAGAGAGGGAACAAAGAAAAAUGGUGGUUAAUUCUUACUUUUAAGCAUUAGGGUAUACGAUACGACUAAUACUUAAUACUUACUGAAUUUGUUGUUGACCAUUAUGCUGUUAUUGUAAGAAAACUUUUAAGAAUUAUUGCCACCCAAGAGCAUUCAAGAGGUUUACUCCAUAUUUCUUGCUCAUUUAGCUGUCUAUAUUGUUUGGGUAAGAUAGCAUAUGGAUAUGUCUGACAUACACAUUGUCAUGCCUUAGGUAGUGGACAUUUGUGGUGUGCAUCGAAUCACCAUUGCCAAUAUGCUUAUUUGUAAAUUAUAACAAUUUGUUUACAUAUUUAAAUUUGUGAAAUUUACUUUACAGGAUUUAUUCCUCAUCUCACCAUUAAAUGGUUAAAUGGAAUCUUUUGAGAGUACAAAUAGAACUUCAUGAAAACAAGAAACUAGAUUCGUGCAUAAAUUUGGUGAAAAUGGAACAAUUUGGUUUGAAGGCAAGAUUAAGGAAUCUUUGAUUUUCCUUUGUAUUAGCUUCUCACAAUUGCAACAAAUUUCUAAUGGCCUUGCUUUGAUUAUGUUCAGGUUCCCAUUUUAAACAGCAGGAGAAAUGGGACAAAAAAAAGAAGCCAUGAAAAGAAGCAGGGAGGGGGAUCUUCAUUAGAAAUUUGUCUGGGCAGCAUGUAAUUAACACCGCGCAUCGUGCGGUGAUCCCUCCUAGUCAAAUGAAACGUGUGAUUGGCUAACAUCUGUCAACAGCUAGAGCAAAGAGACAAAAAGCCAAUAAAGAAAAUGAUCGGGAAUUUAAAUAAAAACAUGGUAUUAUCAUAUCACUUACUUACCCUUUAGAUGUCAAAAGCAGUCUUUCUUCUCCACUUGAUAGACUACCCAACUUUAUUCAGCUUCUAAUUCAACACUACCUUUAGUGUUAAAUAUGUCUAAAUGCAUUAGCUUAAAGAUAGUGAGAAGAAUAGUUAUAGGAUUUAGUUUAAUUAUAGUGAUUAGAUAGCCUAAUUAUACUAGGUUGAUUUUAGAAUCUUGGUAGGUUGAUUUUAGGGUCAUGGUUGGUUUCAAUCUUGUAUGUAUAUAAUUGUUGUAUCUCUUAUUUUAUAUGAAAAAGGUAAUUCCCAAAAUAUCUUCCUAUCCUCCUUCUUCUCUUUCCUUGUAUCAAAGCUAUGAGAGAAAGAAAUAUUUAGACCUUUUACUUUCCAAUCCUCUCCCUUGAUAAUUUUACCCAAUGAUUUUUUUGAUCUGAUAUCAUCAUGUCUACAUUCGAUACAUCUAUAACAUCUACAUCCAAGUCCAUCACAACAACUCCUCUUAUUGUCAAUCCAUCUAUUACUAGUUCUACAAUUAUCACUAUUGAAAGGUAGUAACCACUCUACUUAGGCCGCCGAU
rnacentral:lncRNA from 1 species